rnacentral:rRNA from 1 species
UACAGAGGGUGCGAGCGUUAAUCGGAAUUACUGGGCGUAAAGCGCGCGUAGGCGGCUAUGUAAGUCGGAUGUGAAAUCCCCGGGCUUAACCUGGGAACUGCAUUCGAGACUGCAUGACUAGAGUAUGGGAGAGGGCAGUGGAAUUUCAGGUGUAGCGGUGAAAUGCGUAGAUAUCUGAAGGAACAUCAGUGGCGAAAGCGACUUCCUGGACCAAUACUGACGCUCAUGUGCGAAAGCGUGGGGAGCAAACAGG